rnacentral:rRNA from 1 species
UACAGAGGGGGCGAGCGUUGUUCGGAAUUACUGGGCGUAAAGGGCGCGUAGGCGGCCUUCUAAGUCGAACGUGAAAUCCCCGGGCUCAACCCGGGAACUGCGUCCGAUACUGGGAGGCUUGAAUCCGGGAGAGGGAUGUGGAAUUCCAGGUGUAGCGGUGAAAUGCGUAGAUAUCUGGAGGAACACCGGUGGCGAAGGCGGCAUCCUGGACCGACACUGACACUGAGGAGCGAAAGCCAGGGGAGCAAACGGG